UACGGAGGGGGCUAGCGUUGUUCGGAAUUACUGGGCGUAAAGCGUGCGCAGGCGGCUUUGCAAGACAGAUGGGAAAUCCCCGGGCUUAACCUGGGAACUGCAUUUGUGACUGCAUGGCUGGAGUGCGGCAGAGGGGGAUGGAAUUCCGCGUGUAGCAGUGAAAUGCGUAGAUAUGCGGAGGAACACCGAUGGCGAAGGCAAUCCCCUGGGCCUGCACUGACGCUCAUGCACGAAAGCGUGGGGAGCAAACAGG
rnacentral:rRNA from 1 species